GGAUGAAAUUCCCUCGGGAUGUAAACUUCGCAAGAACAGGAAGAAUAAGUAGGGGACAAUACCCCCUAUGAUGACGGUACUGUUUGUAAGCUCCGGCUAACUCCGUGCCAGCAGCCGCGGUAAUACGGGGGGAGCAAGCGUUGUUCGGAUUUACUGGGCGUAAAGGGCGCGUAGGCGGCGCCGCAAGUCAGUUGUGAAAUCUCUGGGCUUAACCCAGAAAGGUCAACUGAUACUGCGGGGCUAGAGUGCAGAAGGGGCAACUGGAAUUCUCGGUGUAGCGGUGAAAUGCGUAGAUAUCGAGAGGAACACCUGCGGCGAAGGCGGGUUGCUGGGCUGACACUGACGCUGAUGCGCGAAAGCUAGGGGAGCGAACGGGAUUAGAUACCCCGGUAGUCCUAGCCUUAAACGAUGAAUGCUUGGUGUCUGGGGUUUUAUAGUCCCCGGGUGCCGUCGCUAACGCUUUAAGCAUUCCGCCUGGGGAGUACGGUCGCAAGACUGAAACUCAAAGGAAUUGACGGGGACCCGCACAAGCGGUGGAGCAUGUGGUUUAAUUCGACGCAACGCGAAGAACCUUACCUGGGCUAGAAUGCCCCUGACAGCCAUAGAGAUAUGGUCUUCUGGGUAAAACCAGACGGGGUGCAAGGUGCUGCAUGGCUGUCGUCAGCUCGGUC
rnacentral:rRNA from 1 species